GAUAAACGCUGGCGGCGUGCCUAAUACAUGCAAGUCGAGCGAACGGACGAGAAGCUUGCUUCUCUGAUGUUAGCGGCGGACGGGUGAGUAACACGUGGAUAACCUACCUAUAAGACUGGGAUAACUUCGGGAAACCGGAGCUAAUACCGGAUAAUAUUUUGAACCGCAUGGUUCAAAAGUGAAAGACGGUCUUGCUGUCACCUAUAGAUGGAUCCGCGCUGCAUUAGCUAGUUGGUAAGGUAACGGCUUACCAAGGCAACGAUGCAUAGCCGACCUGAGAGGGUGAUCGGCCACACUGGAACUGAGACACGGUCCAGACUCCUACGGGAGGCAGCAGUAGGGAAUCUUCCGCAAUGGGCGAAAGCCUGACGGAGCAACGCCGCGUGAGUGAUGAAGGUCUUCGGAUCGUAAAACUCUGUUAUUAGGGAAGAACAUAUGUGUAAGUAACUGUGCACAUCUUGACGGUACCUAAUCAGAAAGCCACGGCUAACUACGUGCCAGCAGCCGCGGUAAUACGUAGGUGGCAAGCGUUAUCCGGAAUUAUUGGGCGUAAAGCGCGCGUAGGCGGUUUUUUAAGUCUGAUGUGAAAGCCCACGGCUCAACCGUGGAGGGUCAUUGGAAACUGGAAAACUUGAGUGCAGAAGAGGAAAGUGGAAUUCCAUGUGUAGCGGUGAAAUGCGCAGAGAUAUGGAGGAACACCAGUGGCGAAGGCGACUUUCUGGUCUGUAACUGACGCUGAUGUGCGAAAGCGUGGGGAUCAAACAGGAUUAGAUACCCUGGUAGUCCACGCCGUAAACGAUGAGUGCUAAGUGUUAGGGGGUUUCCGCCCCUUAGUGCUGCAGCUAACGCAUUAAGCACUCCGCCUGGGGAGUACGACCGCAAGGUUGAAACUCAAAGGAAUUGACGGGGACCCGCACGAGCGGUGGAGCAUGUGGUUUAAUUCGAAGCAACGCGAAGAGCCUUACCAAAUCUUGACAUCCUUUGACAACUCUAGAGAUAGAGCCUUCCCCUUCGGGGGACAAAGUGACAGGUGGUGCAUGGUUGUCGUCAGCUCGUGUCGUGAGAUGUUGGGUUAAGUCCCGCAACGAGCGCAACCCUUAAGCUUAGUUGCCAUCAUUAAGUUGGGCACUCUAAGUUGACUGCCGGUGACAAACCGGAGGAAGGUGGGGAUGACGUCAAAUCAUCAUGCCCCUUAUGAUUUGGGCUACACACGUGCUACAAUGGACAAUACAAAGGGCAGCGAAACCGCGAGGUCAAGCAAAUCCCAUAAAGUUGUUCUCAGUUCGGAUUGUAGUCUGCAACUCUACUGCAUGAAGCUGGAAUCGCUAGUAAUCGUAGAUCAGCAUGCUACGGUGAAUACGUUCCCGGGUCU
rnacentral:rRNA from 1 species